GAUAAACGCUAGCGGCAGGCUUAACACAUGCAAGUCGAGGGGCAGCAUAGAUUGUAGCAAUACAAUUGGUGGCGACCGGCGCACGGGUGCGUAACGCGUAUGCAACCUACCCGUCACAGGGGGAUAAUCCGGAGAAAUCUGGUCUAAUACCCCAUAACAUAUGGAUCGGCAUCGGUUCAUGUUGAAAUUUUCGGAGGUGACGGAUGGGCAUGCGUAGCAUUAGCUUGUUGGUGAGGUAACGGCUCACCAAGGCGACGAUGCUUAGGGGGACUGAGAGGUUUUCCCCCCACACGGGUACUGAGACACGGACCAGACUCCUACGGGAGGCAGCAGUGAGGAAUAUUGGUCAGUGGGCGCAAGCCUGAACCAGCCAUGCCGCGUGCAGGAUGACGGCUCUAUGAGUUGUAAACUGCUUUUGUGCGAGGGUAAAGUGGGUUACGUGUAACCUUUUGAAAGUAUCGUACGAAUAAGGAUCGGCUAACUCCGUGCCAGCCGCCGCCGUAA
rnacentral:rRNA from 1 species